rnacentral:piRNA from 1 species
UGUGCAGAACAGACGGUGGAAUGGCUUGGA